rnacentral:tRNA from 1 species
ACUAUUGUGGCAGAUUCAAUGCAAUGGCCUUAAGCGCCACCUAUAAAGACCACUUUCGAUAGUA